rnacentral:ncRNA from 18 species
CUCUUAUCAAGAGUGGUGGAGGGACUGGCCCGAUGAAACCCGGCAACCGGCACGUAAGUGCUUGGUGCCAAUUCCUGCAGGUUGGGGUUACCCAGCCUGAGAGAUGAGAG